rnacentral:rRNA from 1 species
UACGUAGGGUGCAAGCGUUAAUCGGAAUUACUGGGCGUAAAGCGUGCGCAGGCGGUUUUGUAAGCCCGAUGUGAAAUCCCCGGGCUUAACCUGGGAAUGGCAUUUGGGACUGCAAGGCUUGAGUGCGGCAGAGGAGACUGGAAUUCCUGGUGUAGCAGUGAAAUGCGUAGAUAUCAGGAGGAACACCGAUGGCGAAGGCAGGUCUCUGGGCUGACACUGACGCUCAUGCACGAAAGCGUGGGGAGCAAACAGG